rnacentral:tRNA from 1 species
UCCCUGGUGGCUCAGAAGGUAAAGCAUCUGCCUGCAAUGCAGAGACCUGGGUUCAAUCCCUGGGUUGGGAA